ACACCUACGGGGGGCAGCAGUGGGGAAUAUUGCACAAUGGGGGAAACCCUGAUGCAGCGACGCCGCGUGAGCGAUGAAGUAUUUCGGAUUGUAAACCUCUGUCUUUGGGGAAGAAAAUGACGGUACCCAAAGAGGAAGCUCCGGCUAACUACGUGCCAGCAGCCGCGGUAAUACGUAGGGAGCGAGCGUUGUCCGGAAUUACUGGGUGUAAAGGGAGCGUAGGCGGGCGAGAAAGUUGAAUGUUAAAUCUACCGGCUUAACUGGUAGCUGCGUUCAAAACUUCUUGUCUUGAGUGAAGUAGAGGC
rnacentral:rRNA from 1 species